rnacentral:sRNA from 1 species
UUACACAAGUAAGAUGCAGUAUUCUAGUCAAAAUGACUUGUUUGGAAGACGAUAUUAAGGCGUCGAAGAGCACAUCGAUGAAGUUUCUGGUGUUUGCUCUGGUUGCCCAAACCGGUGCAAAUGCUGGGAGUUAAGAUUUGUGGGUCCAUUGUAAUGGCAUAUAAUGUCAGCCCAAAAAUCGUGGAGACCUGAAAGGUGAUGUCAUAAUUACUAAUUAGGAUUAAACCUGCAAUGCGGUGAACAAAAAGCUGUGUGCAGAGUAGCUUGCUUUGAGUGAAGUGUACGGAUUUCAUAUCUGAAUAUCAAAUUGUUUAGCGCUAACAAUAGAUAUUAUUGGUGAAUGAAAUACAGAUUUGCAAAAUAAGCUAAGAACAACUCAUUUUGUCAAGGAAAACUUCUAGACUGUUCGUAUGAGAUAUCAUGGGGAUUAUAGUGUAUUCUAAGUGGCUAUUCGGUGAUAUUAAAGCAUUAAAAGGAAACUGCUUGUUUGGCGACAGCAAGUUGCUUUAUGGGAAAUCCUACCGAACCUAAGGUGCAAGGUUUACUCAUGAUAUUGUCUUACUAA